CCUACGGGGGGCUGCAGUGGGGAAUAUUGGACAAUGGGGGGAACCCUGAUCCAGCCAUGCCGCGUGUGUGAAGAAGGCCCUCGGGUUGUAAAGCACUUUCAGUGAGGAAGAACGCCUGGUGGUUAAUACCCAUCAGGAAAGACAUCACUCACAGAAGAAGCACCGGCUAACUCCGUGCCAGCAGCCGCGGUAAUACGGAGGGUGCGAGCGUUAAUCGGAAUUACUGGGCGUAAAGCGCGCGUAGGUGGCUUGAUAAGCCGGUUGUGAAAGCCCCGGGCUCAACCUGGGAACGGCAUCCGGAACUGUCAAGCUAGAGUGCAGGAGAGGAAGGUAGAAUUCCCGGUGUAGCGGUGAAAUGCGUAGAGAUCGGGAGGAAUACCAGUGGCGAAGGCGGCCUUCUGGACUGACACUGACACUGAGGUGCGAAAGCGUGGGUAGCAAACAGGAUUAGAUACCCUGGUAGUC
rnacentral:rRNA from 1 species